rnacentral:rRNA from 1 species
CCUACGGGAGGCAGCAGUGAGGAAUAUUGGUCAAUGGACGAGAGUCUGAACCAGCCAAGUAGCGUGAAGGAUGACUGCCCUAUGGGUUGUAAACCUCUUUUAUAUGGGAAUAAAAUGUUCCACGUGUGGGAUUUUGUAUGUACCAUAUGAAUAAGGAUCGGCUAACUCCGUGCCAGCAGCCGCGGUAAUACGGAGGAUCCGAGCGUUAUCCGGAUUUAUUGGGUUUAAAGGGAGCGUAGGUGGAUUGUUAAGUCAGUUGUGAAAGUUUGCGGCUCAACCGUAAAAUUGCAGUUGAAACUGGCAGUCUUGAGUACAGUAGAGGUGGGCGGAAUUCGUGGUGUAGCGGUGAAAUGCUUAGAUAUCACGAAGAACUCCGAUUGCGAAGGCAGUUCACUGGACUGCAACUGACACUGAGGCUCGAAAGUGUGGGUAUCAAACAGGAGUAGAUACCCCAGUAGUC